GCCUCUCUUUGUUUUCUACCGUGUGGGGAUAGGAUGAGCCAUGAGGUAUCGUCGAGCUCUAGACGUUAAAUUAAGCACUUGUUGGGAGGUAACCCAACUGUUUUUCUUUGUUUUUUUUUUUUUUUGUGUUUAGUUUCUUUUUGUUUCUUUGUUUUCUUUGUUUUGGGAGUUUAGUGCAGUGUUGAGCUUGGAAGAUGCGGGAACUCGCGCCUUGUCCAUACUACCACCGUGGAGCAUGUGUUUUCUGUGAGUAGUGACACACAUAUCAUCAUCCCUCCAAACUUACUUUCGAACUUAUGUUCUGUAAUAAGUUU
rnacentral:lncRNA from 1 species